UUAGAGUUUGNAUCCUGGCUCAGAUUGAACGCUGGCGGCAGGCUUAACACAUGCAAGUCGAGCGGAGAUGAGGUGCUUGCACCUUAUCUUAGCGGCGGACGGGUGAGUAAUGCUUAGGAAUCUGCCUAUUAGUGGGGGACAACAUUCCGAAAGGAAUGCUAAUACCGCAUACGUCCUACGGGAGAAAGCAGGGGAUCUUCGGACCUUGCGCUAAUAGAUGAGCCUAAGUCGGAUUAGCUAGUUGGUGGGGUAAAGGCCUACCAAGGCGACGAUCUGUAGCGGGUCUGAGAGGAUGAUCCGCCACACUGGGACUGAGACACGGCCCAGACUCCUACGGGAGGCAGCAGUGGGGAAUAUUGGACAAUGGGGGGAACCCUGAUCCAGCCAUGCCGCGUGUGUGAAGAAGGCCUUAUGGUUGUAAAGCACUUUAAGCGAGGAGGAGGCUACUGAGACUAAUACUCUUGGAUAGUGGACGUUACUCGCAGAAUAAGCACCGGCUAACUCUGUGCCAGCAGCCGCGGUAAUACAGAGGGUGCGAGCGUUAAUCGGAUUUACUGGGCGUAAAGCGUGCGUAGGCGGCUUUUUAAGUCGGAUGUGAAAUCCCCGAGCUUAACUUGGGAAUUGCAUUCGAUACUGGGAAGCUAGAGUAUGGGAGAGGAUGGUAGAAUUCCAGGUGUAGCGGUGAAAUGCGUAGAGAUCUGGAGGAAUACCGAUGGCGAAGGCAGNCCAUCCUGGCCUAAUACUGACGCUGAGGUACGAAAGCAUGGGAGCAA
rnacentral:rRNA from 1 species